AGAAGCAAGCUGCUUACACCCACAACGUAGUCACCUCUACCAUAUUUUUCUCCUCUUGGCUUUCGCGCACCUCCCCGUCCUCCAAAGCAGCCAUAGGUGUCCCUCCCGCCACCCUGGCUAGAAGUGUUGCUCCUGCUAGGGUGCCACUUGAAGGGCCCAGAAACCCCACCUUUCCCGGUCGCCCCCCUCUCCGACACGACCUUUGGUGACAACGUGGGCCAAGGCUGGCAGGGGCAAGCCCGGGUGGGGUUCUGGGGUGGGGGGUGGGGGGCAAGGAGAUGCGACCUUACAUCCUGGCGGGCCCAGUCCGAGUGAGGCCUCUGGGACGUGCGGCGAAGGAAGGAAGGAAGGAGGCAGCGCGGGGACACGUGUUGGCCCAGAGUUUGGAAAGAGAGAAUGCUGUGGGGCGCGGGGCUCCCGAGACUCUGGGAGGCGGGGGCGCUGGUAGCCAGCCUGGAUUUGGGCGGACGUCGCAAGUCCCGGGUCACACGAGGUAACCGGCGUGCUCCUAACCUGGAGCAGCAAACCUGAUUCUGAUCUGGGCACGUAGGCGCAGCCCCGCGGAAGGCGUUAGCAGCUGCGGACGUCGCUUGGGGGCAGGCAGCGUCCGAGGCCAGGGAUCGCAGGAUCAUCACCGGCACGUGCAAAGAUCAAGGCGAAGUGCUGGCCGUGACCCUGGCGGGGUCAAGGCCGACUUCUAGCCCCAUCCCGCGGGGUUCGGAAACGGCCCUGCAACCCCAGGCCCAGGAGUCCGCCCGGCGCCCUGCGAGCAGGAUUUCGUUUCUAUUCCCAGCACGCGUCCCAGCAGCGCACCGGGAGAUCCAGUUUCGCCGGAACGUACCCGGUGACUUGUUGGUUUGAAAGUUGAAGCCCCGGGGUAGUAGGGCUGGCCACAAAAAUUUCAAACCCCGCUAAUCCUAGACAAAAUAAAAACAGAAUAGGCCACAAACCAACCAACUUGGGGCAAAUUCCGUGGUGGUCUCCUGGCUGGGCAUGUGGAGUGGCGGGACCUGGAGGGAGCGGACCUUUCCACCUCGAGUUCCCGGCGUGUGGGAAGACCUCGGCAGGGCCUUACAGCGGGUCUCGUCCCCACCGCUUGCUCCCGUCUUCUAAAGAAGUACAAAGACAACCCCCAAGCCCGCCGCACCCACGGCUGGGGGCGCGCGGGGGGCUACGGGCACAGGUUGCUAGCCUGGAGCCCGAGCUUGGCACGACUUCGCCCCACACCCAGACGCAGGGUCUCCCAGAGAGACGAGAUCGAGGCCUAGGAGCCCCGGGCCCCCACUCGGGAGCCAACCCGCCCAGCACGAAGAAGGCUCCCGGUCCCCACGCCGGCGAGCUGGGAGGCAGGCGGACGCUCGAGGCUCCAGCAGGGUGGAAUCCUAAAGAAAGAAAAAAAAAAAUCUGGAAAGAGAUAAAAAUAAAUUUGAACAAAACUAAACUACAAGCCCGCAGGACCCGCCGAAAGCGAGGUGGGGGAGGAGGGGGGCGGGAACGGCGAGGCGCGGAGAGUGGGGGAUGCGAAACGGACUCCGUCCCCUGCAGAGCCGGUGCCUUCGGGGGCUGCACCGCCGCGCGCUCCCACCCGCAAGGCCCAGCCAAGCCUUCGGAGGCCGCCUUCAAUGCCUGUCAGGACAAAGGAUGCUGCGCCCCCUGGUGUCAAACUGGCAGUCAGCACCGCUCGCUGUCGGGGAGACCCAGGGUCCAGCGGGAAAAGUCCCCGGGUCAGUCGGAUGCCUUUUCUUCUGUUUGCUAA
rnacentral:lncRNA from 1 species